UCAAUGGGCGAGAGCCUGAACCAGCCAAGUCGCGUGAGGGAAGACGGUCCUAUGGAUUGUAAACCUCUUUUUGCCGGGGAGCAAAGAGCGGCACGUGUGCCGCGCCGAGAGUACCCGGAGAAAAAGCAUCGGCUAACUCCGUGCC
rnacentral:rRNA from 1 species